GUUUUGAAACAUUAAUUAGGAUACUGGAAGCAAAUAAUUUUUCUGGAGUUGUUCCACCUGAACUUGGGAAGCUGAUCAACUUGCAGACCUUGGUACUGUCAUCAAAUCAGUUGACCGGGAAUUUACCAUCGGCACUUUGAACUUUCCCCACCAUACUCAACAGAAAAUGGAAGACACUGCUCCUAUUUCCAAAGGUCUCCUCCUAUCACAGAUCUUCCAAGUGUUGAGGUAGAUAAAGCAUCUGAAGUGACAUGGUUAGAGGAGACUCAACCGCCAGAGAACUUGAUGGUUAAGAGAGGGCAGUACAUAUGCCUUACUAUAAGAAAACGUUGACGGCGGAGAUAAAUAUAACUAGUUUGUAAAAAAAAAUUUUUUUUUUGUGUUUUUUUUUUUGCACUGCUAUGUGUUUGAUUUUAAUAGAGCUUGUAAUCAUUUGCACUAUUAUUUGAACUCGAGAUUUAUUUUGUAUUUGAAUAUUAAUUUUUUAAUGUAUAAAAUAAUUAUAGCA